AAGUCGUAACAAGGUUUCCGUAGGUGAACCUGCGGAAGGAUCAUUAUUGAAUAAACCUGAUGAGUUGUAGCUGGCUUUUCGGAGCAUGUGCUCGCCUGUCAUCUUUAUAUUUCCACCUGUGCACCUUUUGUAGACCCGAGCGACUUUACAAGUCAAUUGGGCCUAUGUCUAUCAUAUACCCCUAGUAUGUAUUAGAAUGUAUCAAUGGGCUUCGUGCCUAUAAACACUAUACAACUUUCAGCAACGGAUCUCUUGGCUCUC
rnacentral:misc_RNA from 1 species